rnacentral:rRNA from 1 species
UACGUAGGUGGCAAGCGUUGUCCGGAUUUACUGGGCGUAAAGAGCGCGCAGGCGGUCGUUCAAGUCGCGUGUGAAAGCCCCCGGCUCAACUGGGGAGGGUCACGCGAUACUGAUCGACUCGAAGGCAGGAGAGGGAAGUGGAAUUCCCGGUGUAGUGGUGAAAUGCGUAGAUAUCGGGAGGAACACCAGUGGCGAAGGCGGCAUCCUGGACCGACAUUGACGCUGAUGAGCGAAAGCUAGGGGAGCAAACGGG